CUAGCAAUUCCCAACAGAGAAUCAUUCAUAAAGGCUGAACAGAAACGCUCUGUUUCUCUGGGGGAGGCGGGACUCUGGGGAAAAGCGGCUGAGCCGGGUGCCGCCGGCUGUCUCUGGGCUCUGCACGCAGGCAGGCGUCCGCCUCGGCUUACCGUGGGCCGAGAGCUCCACCGGAGCUUCGUUCACUGCACCGCCUCGUUAAGACCAGAGGACGGUGUUUGUGUUUUCUCAGGAGAGGCAAACGCACGGGGAGAUAAAUUCACCAAAGGAAUCCGGUCUCUGUGCUUCCCAAGGGAAGAGAUCGAAACAAACAGAAAGAGCGGGAGGAAGGGAAGGGGAGUGAGUGAGAGACAGAACAUAAAUCCGUCCAUUUUAACCUCACAACCGGAGACAGUUUUCCGUUUUCUGAAGAGGAGACAUUAGACCACUUCUUGCUGUGAAAAACAGAUGCAAAGUAAGAAAAACGGAUAAAGAGCAAAAGAAAGGAUUCGGGAGGCAGGGAGCAUUGGGGUCGGCUGCUCCCUGGAACUCAUGAUUUUAAAACAGCGCGACCUGAUCAGAACAACCAGAAACAGAGCAAGGAGGAGACUCAACUGCACCGUCCAUCCGUUCCCACAUCUCCACAUUCAGAUCACAUUUAUUUGUCAGACGCUUUCAUCCAAAGUGAUGUACAGUUAGUACCACACCAAAGAUGAGAUCAUGCUGAACGCCCAGUCAAACAAACACACGUUAGCAUGAUGCUAUGAGAGCCGUUUUCACUACGAAGAGCGGAGAACUACACCAGCCCCAGCAGCUGAACACUCCACCCCUAGCAUCUGUAGCAUGACUGCUGCUUUGACGUGGUUUGAGGGGGUGUGUGGGGGGGGGGGCUUAUGUCUCCAGUUACUGCCUUCUACACAACUGCAGUUUGACCCCCUGAACGUCUUGGAGAAACACAGAUGUGACUCCAAUAAUGUCACUGCCCCUAAAGAAAAUAAA